UACGAAGGGUGCAAUCGUUAAUCGGAAUUACUGGGCGUAAAGCGCGCGUAGGUGGUUCAGUAAGUUGGAAGUGAAAUCCCCGGGCUCAACCUGGGAACUGCUUUCAAAACUGCUGAGCUAGAGUACGGUAGAGGGUGGUGGAAUUUCCUGUGUAGCGGUGAAAUGCGUAGAUAUAGGAAGGAACACCAGUGGCGAAGGCGACCACCUGGACUGAUACUGACACUGAGGUGCGAAAGCGUGGGGAGCAAACAGG
rnacentral:rRNA from 1 species